CGUAGGGGCGAGCGUUAUCCGGAAUUAUUGGGCGUAAAGCGCGCGCAGGCGGCCGGUUAAGUCAGGUGUGAAAGGCUGCGGCUCAACCGCAGAGCGGCACCUGAAACUGGUCGGCUUGAGUGCAGGAGAGGGGAGCGGAAUUCCCGGUGUAGCGGUGGAAUGCGUAGAGAUCGGGAGGAACACCAGUGGCGAAGGCGGCUCUCUGGCCUGUAACUGACGCUGAGGCGCGAAAAGCGUGGGGGAGCAAACAGGAUU
rnacentral:rRNA from 1 species